GAUUUCUGGCUUGAAACAUCUGGCCGGCCACGGUUUCGUGUGUUAGUGCUUGAUGUUCUGGCCAUCCUUCCAAUCGCUAUUGGCUAUUCUUCAUUGAAUGGUCAGUAGUAUUGGAUCUUUUACUUUGAAAAAAUUAGAGUGUUUCAAGCAGGCUUUAUGCUAUGAAUACAUUAGCAUGGAAUAAUAAUUUAGGACUUUGUUUCUAUUUUGUUGGUUUCUAGGAAUGAAGUAAUGAUUGAUAGGGACAGUUGGGGGUGCUAGUAUUCAUCGGCCAGAGGUGAAAUUCUUGGAUUCGAUGAAGACUAACUUAUGCGAAAGCAUU
rnacentral:rRNA from 1 species